UACGGGGGGGGCAAGCGUUGUUCGGAAUUACUGGGCGUAAAGGGUGCGUAGGCGGCUUUCUAAGUCGGAUGUGAAAACUCUAGGCUCAACCCAGAGCCUGCAUCCGAAACUGGAGAGCUAGGGUUCUGGAGGGGAAAGCGGAAUUCCUGGUGUAGCGGUGAAAUGCGUAGAUAUCAGGAGGAACACCGGUGGCGAAGGCGGCUUUCUGGACAGAUACCGACGCUGAGGCACGAAAGCUAGGGGAGCAAACAGG
rnacentral:rRNA from 1 species